GACGAACGCUGGCGGCGUGCUUAACACAUGCAAGUCGAACGGAAAGGCCCUGCUUUUGUGGGGUGCUCGAGUGGCGAACGGGUGAGUAACACGUGAGUAACCUGCCCUUGACUUUGGGAUAACUUCAGGAAACUGGGGCUAAUACCGGAUAGGAGCUCCUGCUGCAUGGUGGGGGUUGGAAAGUUUCGGCGGUUGGGGAUGGACUCGCGGCUUAUCAGCUUGUUGGUGGGGUAGUGGCUUACCAAGGCUUUGACGGGUAGCCGGCCUGAGAGGGUGACCGGCCACAUUGGGACUGAGAUACGGCCCAGACUGCUACGGGAGGCAGCAGUGGGGAAUAUUGCACAAUGGGAGGAAGGCUGAUGCAGCAACGCGGCGUGCGGGAUGACGGCCUUCGGGUUGUAAACCGCUUUCGCCUGUGACGAAGCGUGAGUGACGGUAAUGGGUAAAGAAGCACCGGCUAACUACGUG
rnacentral:rRNA from 1 species